rnacentral:ncRNA from 2 species
UAAAUAUCAUUUCUUCAAGGUGCUCUCAAGAGAGCUUUAUAGGGAACCCUGUGCAAAUCGGGGACGGGCCCGCCGCUGUAACCGGGGACGAAUUUCGCACGAUGUCACUGUCCGUUUAGAGAUGGGAAGACGCGGGAUGAGGAGGAGCCGGGAGUCAGAAAACCUGCCUUGAAAAACCAAUGCCG